AAAGAUGGCAGAUACAGCACCAGGGC
rnacentral:piRNA from 1 species